GAUGAACGCUAGCGGCAGGCUUAAUACAUGCAAGUCGAGGGGCAGCAGGGUGUAGCAAUACAUCGCUGGCGACCGGCAACGGGUGCGGAACACGUACGCAACCUUCCUUCAAGUGGGGAAUAGCCCAGGGAAACUUGGAUUAAUACCUCGUAACAUUAUGAGAUGGCAUCAUUUUAUAAUUAUAGUUCCGACGCUUGAAGAUGGGCGUGCGCCUGA
rnacentral:rRNA from 1 species